UACAGAGGGUCCAAGCGUUGAUCGGAAUCACUGGGCUUAAAGGGUUCGCAGGCGGCUCGGCAAGUAUGUUGUGAAAUCCCACGGCUCAACCGUGGAAUUGCUUCGUAAACUGCCGAGCUUGAGCACGACAGGGGCCAUCAGAACUCUAGGUGGAGCGGUGAAAUGCGUAGAUAUCUAGAGGAAUGCCGAAGGUGAAGACAGAUGGCUGGGUCGUCGCUGACGCUCAGGAACGAAAGCAUGGGUAGCGAACGGG
rnacentral:misc_RNA from 1 species